UUGUGUGAGCGUAGUGUGAGCGACACUAUUCCACGUAGGAGAGAGGGGGAGACCUGAUUUUAUUUUAUUUUUUUUCUCUCUCUCUUCAUACUUUUAUCUCUCUCCUUUUAGAUUUCAGAAUUUUGGAUAUAUUUCUUCUCUUUCGAUUUUUUUCUGCAUCGCUACCGAGAGUUUGUCGGAAAUUCGCCGCAGAACCUGGUCACGGCGGGAUCAGACAUCAAUUCGGCAGUGCUCGGGCGCGCCCAAGGAGUCCCAGCGUGCGAGCUCCUUGGAUUCGUACGCCGCGAAGACGGCGAGCUUCCGCGUGGAUGGGACCGAGGGCGAAUUUGAGGUUAUCUGCGAAGCCGUUAGUUUUUCUGGAAUAGACGAUUUCGCUAUUUCCCGGAGGAAUAUGAGGCGAUGAAGGUGGGGUCUUCUUCUUACGAUAUGGGCGCGUUAUUCAUGACAGGCAGAAGGGCGAGCUUUUGGAGCGUGGAACAUUUGGAUAUGUGUAUGAAGGAAUUGCGGAUGGCGGAUUCUUUUUUGCUGUAAAGGAAGUGUCUUUGCUUGAUCAAGGAGAGGAUGGAAAGCAAUGUAUAGUCUAAAAUUUGUUGCAUGAGUGUAGCAAAAAACAAGAAAUAUGCACUUAUCAAAUUACUGUAACUCUUGAAUAUUGAGAUACUCCUUCGGUUUUGUUAUACGCUUAUAUGUCACUGGCUCAUGUUUUAGUGUU